rnacentral:rRNA from 1 species
GCCUCAUGCCAUCAGAUGUGCCCAGAUGGGAUUAGCUAGUAGGUGGGGUAACGGCUCACCUAGGCGACGAUCCCUAGCUGGUCUGAGAGGAUGACCAGCCACACUGGAACUGAGACACGGUCCAGACUCCUACGGGAGGCAGCAGUGGGGAAUAUUGCACAAUGGGCGCAAGCCUGAUGCAGCCAUGCCGCGUGUGUGAAGAAGGCCUUCGGGUUGUAAAGCACUUUCAGCGGGGAGGAAGGCGGUGAGGUUAAUAACCUCACCGAUUGACGUUACCCGCAGAAGAAGCACCGGCUAACUCCGUGCCAGCAGCCGCGGUAAUACGGAGGGUGCAAGCGUUAAUCGGAAUUACUGGGCGUAAAGCGCACGCAGG